rnacentral:rRNA from 1 species
GUUGACGCUGGCGGCAGGCCUAACACAUGCAAGUCGAGCGAGCGGCGGACGGGUGAGUAAUGUAUGAGCAUCUUCCCGUUAGAGGGGGGUCACCACUGGGAACGGUCGCUUAUACCGCCUACUAUAGGAUUAACCCAUAUGGGAUUAGCUAGUAGGCGGGGUAAAGGCUCACAUGGGCGACGAUCUCUAACUGGUCUGAGAGGAUGAUCAGCACAAUGGGGAUGGAGACAGGGCCCAGACUCCUACGGGAGGAAGCAGUGGGGAAUAUUGCAAAAGGGGGGCAAGCUGAAUGCAGAAAUGCGGCGGGGAGGAAGAAGCCUUUAGGGUGGAAAAGUACGUUCAGCGGGGAGGCGUUACCCGCAGAAGAAGCCACGGCUAACUACGUGCCAGCAGCCGCGGUAAUUC